GACGAACGCUGGCGGCGUGCUUAACACAUGCAAGUCGAACGGAAAGGCCCUGCUUUUGUGGGGUGCUCGAGUGGCGAACGGGUGAGUAACACGUGAGUAACCUGCCCUUGACUUUGGGAUAACUUCAGGAAACUGGGGCUAAUACCGGAUAGGAGCUCCUGUUACAUGGUGGGGGUUGGAAAGUUUCGGCGGUUGGGGAUGGACUCGCGGCUUAUCAGCUUGUUGGUGGGGUAGUGGCUUACCAAGGCUUUGACGGGUAGCCGGCCUGAGAGGGUGACCGGCCACAUUGGGACUGAGAUACGGCCCAGACUCCUACGGGAGGCAGCAGUGGGGAAUAUUGCACAAUGGGCGGAAGCCUGAUGCAGCAACGCCGCGUGCGGGAUGACGGCCUUCGGGUUGUAAACCGCUUUCGCCUGUGACGAAGCGUGAGUGACGGUAAUGGGUAAAGAAGCACCGGCUAACUACGUG
rnacentral:rRNA from 1 species